rnacentral:rRNA from 1 species
UACGGGGGGGGCAAGCGUUGUUCGGAAUUACUGGGCGUAAAGGGCUCGUAGGCGGCCAACUAAGUCAGACGUGAAAUCCCUCGGCUUAACCGGGGAACUGCGUCUGAUACUGGAUGGCUUGAGGUUGGGAGAGGGAUGCGGAAUUCCAGGUGUAGCGGUGAAAUGCGUAGAUAUCUGGAGGAACACCGGUGGCGAAGGCGGCAUCCUGGACCAAUUCUGACGCUGAGGCACGAAGGCCAGGGAGCAAACGGG